AUUGAACGCUGGCGGCAGGCCUAACACAUGCAAGUCGAGCGGAUGAAGGGAGCUUGCUCCUGGAUUCAGCGGCGGACGGGUGAGUAAUGCCUAGGAAUCUGCCUGGUAGUGGGGGAUAACGUCCGGAAACGGGCGCUAAUACCGCAUACGUCCUGAGGGAGAAAGUGGGGGAUCUUCGGACCUCACGCUAUCAGAUGAGCCUAGGCCGGAUUAGCUAGUUGGUGGGGUAAAGGCCUACCAAGGCGACGAUCCGUAACUGGUCUGAGAGGAUGAUCAGUCACACUGGAACUGAGACACGGUCCAGACUCCUACGGGAGGCAGCAGUGGGGAAUAUUGGACAAUGGGCGAAAGCCUGAUCCAGCCAUGCCGCGUGUGUGAAGAAGGUCUUCGGAUUGUAAAACACUUUAAGUUGGGAGGAAGGGCAGUAAGUUAAUACCUUGCUGUUUUGACGUUACCAACAGAAUAAGCACCGGCUAACUUCGUG
rnacentral:rRNA from 1 species